rnacentral:rRNA from 1 species
GUAGGGAAUAUUGGGCAAUGGAGGCAACUCUGACCCAGCCAUGCCGCGUGCAGGAUGACGGCCCUCUGGGUUGUAAACUGCUUUUAUACGGGAAGAAAAAAUACUACGUGUAGUAUACUGACGGUACCGUAAGAAUAAGGAUCGGCUAACUCCGUGCCAGCAGCCGCGGUAAUACGGAGGAUCCAAGCGUUGUCCGGAUUUAUUGGGUUGAAAGGGUGCGUAGGCGGAUCUUUAAGUCAGUGGUGAAAGCCUGCAGCUUAACUGUAGAAUUGCCAUUGAAACUGAAGAUCUUGAAUGUGGUUAAAGUAGGCGGAAUGUAUCAUGUAGCGGUGAAAUGCUUAGAUAUGAUACAGAACACCGAUAGCGAAGGCAGCUUGCUGAACCAUUAUUGACGCUGAGGCACGAAAGCGUGGGGAGCGAACAGGAUUAGAUACCCCAGUAGUCC